AAAGCGUGCUUCAAGUUGCUGCGGCACGUGACCCGGAUGACUUAAAGCUAUUUACCAGACUGAUUCCCUACUUUCGGGGAAACCAUCACCUGGAAGAAGUAAUGUAUUACGAGAAUUUGACAAGAUCUCAGCUAUUAACACUGAUCGAUAAGUUCA